AUUGAACGCUGGCGGCAUGCCUUACACAUGCAAGUCGAACGGUAACGCGGGGCAACCUGGCGACGAGUGGCGAACGGGUGAGUAAUGCAUCGGAACGUGCCCCGUAGUGGGGGACAGCUCGGCGAAAGCCGGAUUAAUACCGCAUACGACCUAUGGGUGAAAGCGGGGGACCGCAAGGCCUCCCGCUAUCGGAGCGGCCGAUGUCAGAACAGGUUGUUGGUGAGGUAAAGGCUCGCCAAGCCGACGAUCUGUAGCUGGUCUGAGAGGACGACCAGCCAACCUGGGACUGAGACACGGCCCAGACUCCUACGGGAGGCAGCAGUGGGGAAUUUUGGACAAUGGGGGCAACCCUGAUCCAGCCAUGCCGCGUGCGGGAAGAAGGCCUUCUGGUUGUAAACCGCUUUUGUCGGGGAAGAAACGCUCUGGGCUAAUACCCUGGGGUAAUGGCGUUACCCGAAGAAUAAGCACCGGCUAACUACGUGCCAGCAGCCGCGGUAAUAC
rnacentral:rRNA from 1 species